GCCGACGCCGCCGGCCUCCAACUGCUUGCCAAGCCCCGAACCCCGAGCUCCCUUUGACACUUGCUCCCGAGCCUCGAGGUCCCUCCCUCCCGACCCCCUCUCCCCACUCCCUGCUUCCUCCAAUCCCCUGAGAUCCGGUGUCGCCUCCGCUCCCAUUGCAGGCCUCCACCAGGCGGGUGUCCUCUGGCUUCAGCACGGUGCAGAGACCACCUCCACCCCCGCUCUCGGCCUCUGCGUUGCGGAGACCGCCUCGACACGCUUGCUCCCAGCCCUCCAUCCACCGGUGGCGCUGGUGCCCUCCACCGAACCCUAAAACCGUGGUUAGGCCACCGAUUUGACAGGCUACCUGGUCGUCGCCGCGACGCCGCCGCCACCUCCGCUCCUAGCCUCUCCUGGUGGGCGUCAGGUCAUCACCAUCAACGCCAACCUCAACAUCUACAAGUUCUUCGUGAGUCCUAGCACCAGCCCGCCCUCUCUCAUGAGUCGUCUUGCAAUCUGGGUACAGUGCAGUGCUGAGGAUUGUGUAUUGCCGCUGGGUUGGAUUUCUUCGAUGAUGGGUGAUGUGUCCUGGGCAGUGUUACCCGUUUCAAAUUUGGUGCUAUAGCAUAUGUGCGUGAUUUCUGUAUAUUAUAUUACUGUUGUGGGUAGCAGAAUCAGUUCAGUGCUGAACCUAGAUGCUCCUUUGUAAGCAUGUUUUUUUUGAGAAAAGUGAACCAUGCUAAAAAAUUGUUUUCAAAAUCAUGCUAACUGAAUGUACAGUUAUGGCUUGAAAACAUAAUCUAUUCGUCAGGCUUGAAAUAGCUCACUGAUUUAUGGGUUGAAACAGCUGCCUCAGCACAUGCUUUGCUUAGUGAAACUGAUUUCUUCUGUACCGUAUUUGGCAUUAGUUAUCUGCUGUACCGGGAACCAAUUCAACUGCUCCAGUGUACACUGCCUCCAAUUAAAGCUAUUGUGAAUUGUUUGCACAAGGUAGUUAACUGUCUCAGACUUGUUCUUUACUGCACUAUGAAUAACUAAAGGAUGGAAUCCAUAGGUGAAGGUAUGGAUUUUUCUUUUACAGUAUGCAGUACCCCAUUGCAUGAUAAAACUGUAGGAGUACGACAAUUGCAAAAACUUAAUGUAGAUGCUACUUGUUCUCAUGCAAAGCUGAAAACAGAUGCUAUUCCUAUCUCUAUUAUUUAUAGUACCAUCUUCUUGCCAAUCAGGAUCAGUUAUAUGAGUUGACUUAGGGGUCUGAUAUUAACAUGCUAGAACCCUCCUUAUUUCCCUUUCUUGUUAAGUCCUAUAUUGACAUGAUGUUGGAGUCAUAAUAUGAUACUUAGUUGUGAUCCCUAUAGUUCCCUUAUAUUGUGUGCCUGUGAUUUGUGCGAACUAAAUUUAAUGCCAUAAUAUUUUAUUUGUGUAGCCCCCUGUCCGUUUGCUACAAUUUUUUUUUGUUGCAGUGCUGCUGCUAGAGGAGAAAAGUAAGGAGGAGAAGGAAUGAUUAAUAUCAACUAAAAUGUUUACCCACCGAUGAUUCACAACCUAUGAAUGCUCCCCCCGCUCGCACGCUACUCCGUCAUGCAAUGACUCACUCCCUGCAAGUGGACCCGGAAUGAUGUUUCCCAAAAACUACACUGAGUCCAUCAUCAUUGCACAUUGCUCAAACAGGUUCUUUAUUUUGACGAAGUGGGAGGAGGCUCAAUCAGUGUCUUCAUCGAUUCAAACCAGCAGCACUCGCUUCAUUAAUCCAGUGAGAUGGAGAACCAAAUGAAAGAAGGAUUAGCACAAUCUGAGAUUAUGUCAUCCAGUGCACAUACCAAAAGGUAACACACUCAGCAUUCUCCUCUUUUUGUAUAGAAUGGUAACACUCAUACGACUGAACUCAAGGUGUUGAAAAGCUAAACGCAACAGUGCAGUAAUGACUACAAAUGAAAUGGUCUUUGUGAUUAAGGAAAUGAAAGCAGCGAUGUUGUGUAUGGUCAAAUUCAGAAAGUCCACAUGAUGAUAACCCAUUGAUUAGAAGAAGGGAUAUCUUUUCUAUUACGAUAAGUAAUAUUGGCAAGUUUGUGCAUGACUGUAUCUUGAUUUGCAUGGUCAUGUAGACAAUGCAUAUGUGCAGGGCCGACAUGGCAUGGGCCGAAGGCAAUGCUGGCUCCAAGAAUGAGAUUUCAGUUCUCUCGGGGAUGCCAGUGGCAAUGUCAUCUCUGUUGAACAAUUUACCUGAACAUCUUGUUAGAUUUUUCAGUACCAUUAUCUAAGAUUAUGCCACUAAAAACUGAUAUCCUGUUCUAGAGCAAUGUAACAAUUUCACAUUUUAUUUGGUUUAGUCUGUAGGUUUUUUUUUCUGUGAUGAUAACCCUGAAGGUAUUGAGGCACAUAAUGAGUUUCAAGGUCCAACUCUUUCAGUUCAUCUUGCAACAGAUUUUAUGAAGCUGGUUUUCCUCCAUGAUUAAUUCAGAAAACAGGGUUAGGAUGGUCGAACAAAGGCUCCGAAUGGACUUUGUAGGGGAAUUCUAGGCGAAUUUCAACUCAUGUAAAGUCACAAGACUAUCUUAAGGGUACCAUAGACAAUGGCUGGUAGUAGAUAGUCGUAAUAGCAAGGUUGUUACAGUACGAAGUACAUUGUUUUGAUUUUACAUCAAAAACUUAAUUCUAUUCUACUUAUGCUUUGAGAAAACUCAUGUAAUAGUGAUGAUCAUUGUUGCAAACGUCGUCCUUAAAGUAUUAUUUUUUAUGGUAAG